rnacentral:rRNA from 1 species
GACGAACGCUGGCGGCGUGCUUAACACAUGCAAGUCGAGCGAGAAAGCACCUUCGGGUGUGAGUACAGCGGCGAACGGGUGAGUAACACGUGGGCAACCUGCCCUAGAGACCGGGAUAACGUCCCGAAAGGGACGCUAAUACCGGAUGACGCGCGAUCUGCCAAGUAGGUCGCGCCAAAUGGUAGCUUCGGCUUCUGCUCUGGGAUGGGCCCGCGCCGGAUUAGCUUGUUGGUGAGGUAACGGCUCACCAAGGCGACGAUCCGUAGCUGGUCUGAGGGGACGAUCAGCCACACUGGGACUGAGACACGGCCAGACUCCUACGGGAGGCAGCAGUGGGGAAUCUUGCGCAAUGGGCGAAAGCCUGACGCAGCAACGCCGCGUGAGCGAAGACGGCCUUCGGGUUGUAAAGCUCUGUCAGGAGGGACGAAGCCGCUCAGGUGAAUAGCCGAGAGGGUGACGGUACCUCCAGAGGAAGCCCCGGCUAACUACGUGCCAGCCGCCGCGGUAAAAC